rnacentral:rRNA from 1 species
CACGUAGGGCGCAAGCGUUGUCCGGAAUUAUUGGGCGUAAAGAGCGUGUAGGCGGCCAGGUAGGUCUGCUGUGAAAACUCGAGGCUCAACCUCGAGACGUCGGCGGAAACCAUCUGGCUAGAGUCCGGAAGAGGAGAGUGGAAUUCCUGGUGUAGCGGUGAAAUGCGCAGAUAUCAGGAAGAACACCGGUGGCGAAGGCGGCCUGCUGGGCUAUGGCUGACACUGAGGCGCGACAGCGUGGGGAGCAAACAGG